rnacentral:lncRNA from 1 species
AGGCCCGGGCCCGGGCCGUUCCGCCGCCGCUCCGCCCCUGAGCGCCGGGCGCCCAAAGGCUGCCGGAGCGCUCGUGUCGCGGCAGUCCUCGUUGCCGGGGCUGGCGCGGCCCCUUCGGCGGGGGCUGAGCGGCUUUAUCUGCGCGCCUCGGAAGUGGCCACGGGCUCUGGCUGGCUGAAGAGACCACACUUACCAAGAAGAACAGACAUCUCUAUGUAAACAGAGGCUUUGGAGCAAAGAGUAGAGAGAGAGAGAGAAGAAAAAGGAGAAAAAAAAAGAAAAAAAGAAACACCUUUCUGACCCAAUAUUGAAGAGCAUGGUGGAUGUGCUUCUAAGGCUAAGGUAGUGUUGCAGGAAGCAGCUGAGAGCAGUCAAUAGCCCAGUGUUCCAGUCAUGCCAAGACAGGAAGAGGAGGACUAGCUACUGAGAUUCCUUAGAGAGUGGAGAAAGAGGAAGAGAAUCCUGAUGGGAGGAGUAGUGCAACCCCAAGAUGAUUAUAUGGGUACUAU